GGUGUGAAAAGAUGGAUAUUUUUGGCACCAGGAGAGGAGCACAAAGUUGAGACACGACCCGGGACUUACGUAUAUGAUAUUUUAAGUAAUGAGUCACUUAGUCUACAGG